rnacentral:rRNA from 1 species
CACGGGGGGGAGCAAGCGUUGUUCGGAAUCACUGGGCGUAAAGGGCGUGUAGGCGGUCAGGUAAGUGGGAUGUGAAAUGCCCCGGCUCACCCGGGGGACCGGCAUCCCCAUACUGCUUGGCUUGAGUACGGGAGAGGAUGUGGGAAUUCCUGGUGUAGCGGUGAAAUGCGUAGAUAUCAGGAGGAACACCGGUGGCGAAGGCGCACAUCUGGCCCGAUACUGACGCUGAGGCGCGAAAGCUAGGGGAGCAAACGGG